rnacentral:misc_RNA from 1 species
GAAAGCCACCAGUAACAACCAUAGACCGGAAUGGAACACCAGAUUUUGAAAAUGAACGGCAAGUAUUUAAAACCUGAGAAGCCAAUUCAGUUGUUGGUGCCAAUAUUACAACACGAGGACUUUGAGGUGACGGUUUGCUAAGUCCUUGAAGUUCUUCUUGCCUAAGACGUUGAAUAAGUGGUAGUAGAUAAGCCAAAGUCUUUCCAGAUCCACUUUGAUCAGAUACUAUGCAGCUCUUUCCAGCCAUGAUGGGUUCAAAUGUCAGAGACUGAAUAUGUGAAGGACGCACAAAAUGCUGAUUCCUUAAGGCUUCUAUCAUAUAGUCACUGCAUCCCAUAUCGUGAAAGGAUUUUCUACUAAA